CCUACGUGAGGCAGCAGUGGGGAAUAUUGCACAAUGGGGGAAACCCUGAUGCAGCGACGCCGCGUGAGUGAAGAAGUAAUUCGUUAUGUAAAGCUCUAUCAGCAGGGAAGAAAAUGACGGUACCUGAGUAAGAAGCCCCGGCUAACUACGUGCCAGCAGCCGCGGUAAUACGUAGGGGGCAAGCGUUAUCCGGAUUUACUGGGUGUAAAGGGAGCGUAGACGGCAGCGCAAGUCUGGAGUGAAAGGCGGGGGCUCAACCUCCGGACUGCUCUGGAAACUGUACGGCUGGAGUGCAGGAGAGGUAAGUGGAAUUCCUAGUGUAGCGGUGAAAUGCGUAGAUAUUAGGAGGAACACCAGUGGCGAAGGCGGCUUACUGGACUGUAACUGACGUUGAGGCUCGAAAGCGUGGGGAGCAAACAGGAUUAGAUACCCUGGUAGUC
rnacentral:rRNA from 1 species